GACCGCGUUAGCUCAGUUGGAAGAGCAUUGGGCUAGUAUUCCAAAGGUCGUAGGUUCGAAUCCCACCGUGGCCG